CCUAAAAAGACAACAAGGGAGGAGGGGAGAUGGGUGGGGAGAGCUGUCUGCUCCCUCCAUCUUUUCUCUCAGCUUCUUUCUGGAAAAUGGCUUUAAUCCUCUCUCUAGAGAUGGAUUCUUCUUUGCUCCUCAGUGAGCAUGAAUGUCCCAGAGCACCAAGUCGAGGGAGAGUAACUCACAGAGGCUGAGUUAAAUGUCUGUCAGGUGAUGAUUCCAGAUUCCUGGGUGAGAACAUCUAUUGAUCUGGCUUGAGCCAGGGGAUCACUGCUGGUCCAAUCAGCCAUGGCCAGGAGUCAGCGCCGUGGAGGAGAAACAUGGCUGCCUGAGACCCAGAGUUUGGCUCUGGGGGAAGGUUCCAAGUGCUGGGCAGACACCCAAGGAUUUACCACCUCCUUCCAAGUGUAAGGUACCGAAUUAUAGUGAGAGCUACUGAGCCUUUACAAUGAGACAGACACUGGGCUUGGAAUUUUUCCUAUAAGAUUCAACAAAUCAAUGAAUUAGAUGCUAUUGUUAUCACGUGUAAUCCUCAUUAUCCUCCAAGUGGGUUCCAUUAUUCUACCCAUUUUACAGAUGGGGUAAAUGAUGCCUGAGGUCAUGAAGCUAAUACCAGGCAGAGCUGGGAUGAUCAUGGCCCGAGUUACUUGGAGGAGACGCAGAUGGCUGUGGGCUAAUUCCUGAAGUGCCCUUCUGGGGACCAUCAGCCCCGGCUCCCCGGCUGGCAUCCUGCACAGGGCUACAGCUCAGCCCCCCUCAUCUAUCUGAACCCACCCCAGUGGCACCAGCCCAUACCCGUGACUUUACUGUCUGAAGAGCUCAGUUAUUGCUGUGACCCGAAGUUGUCAUAGACUCAACUUUCUUAUUUGCUGCCACUCACUGGGUGCUCUCUGUGCUCAGGGACAAUGCCCCUGAUGGUCCAUCGCUGGCCUCCUGUGCCACUUGGUUAGUUCUGAGCAGCCAGCAUGAGGAAUGCGUCUCCAGGGCGUCAGUGGUCACUGUCACUGGAUAUCGUCAUCCAAGGACUACGGGAAUGCCUCAUCCCAGGAGAGAUGCCACUGAAGACUGGUCCACGGGCUUCCUUUUAGUGUCUCUGGGCAUCAGGGCUGGACAUUUCCUCCUCUCCUGCCCUUCCACAGCCCCUCAGAAGGUCUGUAGGAGGAGGGAGGCAUCUUGAAUUGGGUUUGUUUUUGGAUGACUGGCUUCCUUCCUACCGGGUGUUGCAGCUGGGACAGAGUGCUGCACUUCGACCUAAUUCUGAUGGUCUUCAGCUUGAGAUGGUACGUGUGGCACAGGACAGUGAUGGCCAGGGCCAAUGGUUACCUGUUCGGAAGCCCUGACCCCCCCGCCCCCGCUCAGGGGCUUCUAUGAUUCCCUGCCUUUGUCCAAGCCCUUUCCUUUUCCUGAAAGAUCCCUCAGCGUCCCUUUCGUCAGUAUCCACUUGACAAAUGCCUCUUUACCCCUUAAGCCUCAGCUCACAUGCCAUCAGUCAUCUGUAGUUUCUUCCACAGAAGAAAUUCCAGGCCCCCAGAAUUCCAAAAUGUCUUAGAAUUCCUUUCACAUCAGUGCUUCUCACAUGAAGCCACAUUCACUUAAGUGUUACUGCCACGGGCAGGCUCCCACCACCCCUUUUCAGGCCCACCUCGUUCACCUUUCUGUCCUCAGCACUAGCUUGGCAUGCUCUGAGUCUAAGACACACUUUGUGGAAUUGAACUGGGUGAAUUCUUUUAUUUAUUUAUUUAUUUGCCUUUUGCCUUUUCUAGGGCCACU